GCACUGCUGAGGAGUCCCACACUAGGACGAAACGGUCGUUCAGUGC
rnacentral:hammerhead_ribozyme from 1 species